AUGCGGUCUGGGUUCCAGCUGACACGUUGGAGAGCCCCCCCGCUCCGCAUGUUUCAAAACUUUGCUCCAGUUCUUCCAAGAUGCCUCAUGGGUAUGUUGACACUGAUUCACAUAUUGUGCCUUUUUCCACAGUAUUCACACAUACACACACACACACUUUCUGAACCGCUUGUCCCAUAUGGGGUCGCAGGGAACCAGAGCCUCCCCAGUAACACAGGGCGUAAGGCCAGAGGGGGAGGGGACACACACAGGACAGGACGCCAGUCCGUCACAAGGCACCCCAAGUGGGACUCAAACCCCAGACCCAACGGAGAGCAGGACCCAGUCCAACCCACUGCGCCACCACGCCCCCCUCCACAGUAUUCAAAAAAAAGAAAAUGUUUUGUCAGUGGAAAUCAGGGCUUAUUGUUAAUGGAGAACCUGGAAAGACCCAAGUGGGAAAAUAUGAGUGUUUUGAGUGUAUGUUGGAGAACAAGACUUGAAACUACUGAAGGAAUACCAGAACUCUUCACAUGUGUGUAGAGACUUGUGUGUUGGAGGACAAAGAGGUAGAGCUUAGAGUCAUAAGUCCAGCAAUGAUAUGAGAAGCCAUGGAGGGAAAACAAAGAUGGAAGGGAAGUAAAAUAUAAGCCAGGAGACGUUCUUUUGCUGGAGGUUAUUUCUGAGAUCGUCUGGAAUUUGAGAAAGCCAACCAAGUGGUCCAGCUCCUUCAACAGAUAAGAAAGACCUAGAUCCUAUUUUAAGGUCUCCUGGUUAUGUUGAAGAGGAGAGGACAAGAGUGAAACAGCAGCUGAAAGAAAUCAUGCCUCAUAUGGCCAAUGCAGGGGGAUGUGGUAGUGCGGCAGCUUUGACCGGUACCUCACUGUUUGGUGGGUAUGGGGGUCGAGUCUUGCUUGGGGUGCACGGCAGUUUCGUGUGCCUCCCCCGACAUACAGAAGAAGGCACUGGCAAUCCACUUCUGUUCCUCCCUUGCCAUGAAAACCACGUGGGUGGUCGCUAUGGGUCAGGUUUGACUCAACAACAACAACAACAUGGUCCACGCACAUGGCAUGUGGUUCUGGGAUUGUGGAAAUGUGGUUACAGUUGAUGUGAAGACCAGCAAUUCACUAUUACUUUAAAUCAUUCUUACUUGAGGGCCAGUUGGUUGGGCCCCUCAAACAAUUGCACACCACUUGUUCUGAUACUAGAGAGCUGUUCUGCAUUUUAUCUGAGCUAAACCCAUAUGUAAGAAGUCUUCAAUCCAGAUUUCCACACUCCAGUGUAUGGAAUGCAUAGCUUUAUGUUGGUCUUUUAUAGGUGCAUAGAAACUGCUCAGAUUCAUAAUUAUUUGCCUAUGACUGUAGAUAUUUUAAUGUAUAGCAAGAAUAUACAACUAUCUGAACCAGGAUGUGUGCUUCCCUGCCACAAAGUGUAUUGUGGGACAUUGAUUAACAUCAAAGUGUCCACAGACAUUUCCACUGGACUGUGGAAAUCAUAUAUUACAUAGUGAAAUAGGUUAGAUUUGCUCUGGACACUUUGGGGU
rnacentral:lncRNA from 1 species